CCUACGGGUGACAGCAGUGGGGAAUAUUGCACAAUGGGGGAAACCCUGAUGCAGCAACGCCGCGUGAGUGAAGAAGUAUUUCGGUAUGUAAAGCUCUAUCAGCAGGGAAGAAGAUGACGGUACCUGAGUAAGCAGCCCCGGCUAACUACGUGCCAGACGCCGCGGUAAUACGUAGGGGGCAAGCGUUAUCCGGAUUUACUGGGUGGAACGGGAGCGUAGACGGUGAGACAAGUCUGAAGUGAAAGCCCGGGGCUCAACCCCGGGACUGCUUUGGAAACUGCCUGACUGGAGUGCGGGAGAGGCAAGCGGAAUUCCUAGUGUAGCGGUGAAAUGCGUAGAUAUUAGGAAGAACACCAGUGGCGAAGGCGACUUACUGGACUGUAACUGACACUGAGGCACGAAAGCGUGGGGAGCAAACAGGAUUAGAUACCCUAGUAGUC
rnacentral:rRNA from 1 species